rnacentral:rRNA from 1 species
GGAAAGGUGAAAAGCACCCCGGGAGGGGAGUGAAAAAGAACCUGAAACCCUGUGCCUACAAGCACCUAGAGCGCGUCAAAGCGUGAUAGGGUACUUUUUGUAGAACGGUCCGGCGAGCGAUUGUAUGCAGCAAGGUUAAGGACUUAAGGUCUGGAGCCGAAGCGAAAGCGAGUUUGAAAAGGGCGUUAAGUUGCAUAUAAUGGGCCCGAAACCGGGUGACCUACCCAUGGUCAGGUUGAAGUGGAAGUAAAAUUCCAUGGAGGACCGAACCGACCUCCGUUGAAAAGGCGGCGGAUGAACUGUGGGUAGCGGAGAAAUUCCAAUCGAACCCGGAGAUAGCUGGUUCUCCCCGAAAUAGUUUUAGGACUAGCCUCAAGUUAGAUACCUGGAGGUAAAGCACUGAAUAGCCUAGCGGCCGAGAGGUUAGCGAAGCUUAUCAAACUCAGAAUGCCAGAGUAUUGAUGCUUGGGAGUCAGACAGUGUCAGAUAAAUGUCAUUGUCAAAAGGGAAACAGCCCAGAUCUACAGCUAAGGUCCCAAAGUCAGGUUAAGUGGAAAACGAUGUGAAGAUACGCAGACAACCAGGAUGUUGGCUCAGAAGCAGCCACUCAUUCAAAGAGUGCGUAAUAGCUCACUGGUCGAGCGUCUUUGCGCGGAGAAUUUAACGGGGCUAAACCUGACACCGAAGCUUAGGCAAUCCAGUAAUGGAUUGGGUAGGGGAGCGUUGUAUACGCGGAGAAACAGUAGCGUAAGCGGCUGUGGAGUGUAUAGAAGUGAGAAUGCCGGAAUGAGUAGCGCGAAUGCAGUGAGAAUCUGCAUGGCCGAAAGCCUCAGGUUUUUGGAGGAAGGUUCGUCCGCUCCAAGUUAGUCGGGAGCUAAGGUGAGGCCGGAAGGCGUAGCCGAUGCACAGACGGUAGAGAUUCCGUCACCACCAAAAGAGUUAAGCACAGGGACACAUUUGAAGUCUCAGAGCCGGGUGUUGGUUCCGGUAGAGAUCGAGGGAAGUUAGUACCGAAGUCUGAGAUGGAAGAUGGCGAGAAAAGCUGUGUGUAUUUCUGAGGUGCCCGUACCGCAAACCGACACAGGUAGGUAGGAAGAAGAUUCUAAGGCCAACGGGAGAAGGGUUGUUAAGGAACUCGGCAAAUUGACCCCGUAACUUCGGGAGAAGGGGUGCUCCAGAGAUGGAGCCGCAGAGAAUCGGCCCAAGCAACUGUUUACCAAAAACACAGGUUUGUGCUAAAUCGAAAGAUGACGUAUACGAGCUGACGCCUGCCCGGUGCUGGAAGGUUAAGAGGAGAUGUGCAAGCAUUGAAUCGAAGCCCCAGUGAACGGCGGCCGUAACUAUAACGGUCCUAAGGUAGCGAAAUUCCUUGUCAGGUAAG